ACUGACGAUGAGAGGAUCGGGGCCGUUUGAUUCCCGCGUCGACGUCGAUGCGUCGCGACGCCCCUCCACCCCCGAAUAGGCCUCCGGGUUACGCAUACACGAGGCAUCCGAGCAAGUACCAACCUACGUGUGUAAUUAUAUAUUCACCGCAAUCCAAACGGCGAAACAAUCGCGACUUAUUCGGUAUAAUCGCGUGGUUUGACGAUUCCAAGUCUAAGGUGUGCAGAACAAUACAGAGGAAUGAAAAGAAGCCUUCAGGAUUCAUCGUUCAACGUUUCCAUCGUCGCGGGUCUAUAUAUAAAUCUUGGAUUCGUGUUUGCGUGAAGAAGAGGAAAUAGGUUUAGACGCCCUCCCCUGCUCAAAUGCCCUCCCGGAAAUCCUCAACUAUUAUCUCGAGAAUAGAUCGGUGCGAGAAGACGAGAAGAGGACAAGGAGACAAGAGAAUCGCAGAGUAAACAACAAUUUCGGUACAACAACAGGAAGAGACCGAACAAUUGUUCGUUCAUUAGUUUAUUACCAGUAAAUUAUGGUAGCAGUAAUAUUACGAU
rnacentral:lncRNA from 1 species